rnacentral:rRNA from 1 species
CAGAGGGUGCAAGCGUUGUUCGGAAUUACUGGGCGUAAAGCGCGUGUAGGCGGUCCAAUAAGUCGGUCGUGAAAUCCCUUGGCUUAACCAAGGAACUGCGAUUGAAACUGUUAGACUCGAGUAUCGGAGGGGAUGGCGGAAUUCCCGGUGUAGAGGUGAAAUUCGUAGAUAUCGGGAGGAACACCUGUGGCGAAGGCGGCCAUCUGGAAGAUUACUGACGCUGAGACGCGAAAGCGUGGGGAGCAAACAGGAUUAGAUACCCUGGUAGUCCACGCUGUAAACGAUGAGUGCUAGGUGUUGCGGGUAUUGACCCCUGCAGUGCCAAAGCUAACGCGUUAAGCACUCCGCCUGGGGAUACGGUCGCAAGAUCA